GCCUGGGUGGCUCAUUAGGUUAAGCGUCCGACUUCAGCUCAGGUCAUGAUCUCGCAGUUCGUGGGUUCAAGCCCCGCGUCAGGCU
rnacentral:tRNA from 1 species